rnacentral:rRNA from 1 species
AUGGGCGGCGAGAUGCCCGGCACCGACGACGAGGGCCACUCCGCCCCCGCCCCCGCCUCCGCCUCCGGAUUCCCGCCGUCGGCACCGCCGUAUUAUCAACAGCAGCAGCAGCAGUACGGCACCUUCGGGGCCCCGUCCGCUUCCGGCGAGUUCCCGCAGCCGGCGGUCGGGUUCCCCCAGCCCGCUCCGCCGCCUGGGUUCCGGAACUAUCCGCCGCCGCCGCCGCCGUCCUACGCGGUCUACCCUCCUCUGCAGGCUUAUUCGGCCGCCGCGCCCUACUACGCCCAGGGCUACCAGGCCGUGCAAGGUUAUAUACCUGUUGUUGAAGGAAGACCUGUGAGGAUGCGACGCCUUCCAUGCUGUGGCCUUGGCAUGGGUUGGUUUCUGUUCAUUAUUGGCUUCUUCUUUGCUGCCAUUCCGUGGUAUGUUGGAGCUUUUGUUCUGAUCUGCGUCCGAGUACACGACUACAGGGAGAAACCAGGAUAUGUUGCUUGUACUAUUGCUGCUUCACUUGCUGCAAUUGCCAUGUUGCUUGGUGCCACAAAAGGAGCGGAGGUGUGGUGA